rnacentral:tRNA from 1 species
CAGGGUGUAGCUCAGCGGUAGAGCACCCGAUCGGUAAUCGGGGGGUCGCAGGUUCGAGCCCUGCCACUCUCC